ACGGCGAAACUGCGAAUGGCUCAUUAUAUAAGUUAUCGUUUAUUUGAUAGCACAUUACUACUUGGAUAACCGUGGUAAUUCUAGAGCUAAUACAUGCUAAAAAUCCCGACUUCGGAAGGGAUGUAUUUAUUAGAUUAAAAGCCAAUGCCCUCUGGGCUCUCUGGUGAAUCAUGAUAACUGCUCGAAUCGCAGGGCCUCGUGCCGGCGAUGGUUCAUUCAAAUUUCUUCCCUAUCAACUUUCGAUGUUUGGGUAUUGGCCAAACAUGGUUACAACGGGUAACGGAGGGUUAGGGCUCGACCCCGGAGAAGGAGCCUGAGAAACGGCUACUACAUCCAAGGAAGGCAGCAGGCGCGCAAAUUACCCAAUCCCGACACGGGGAGGUAGUGACAAUAAAUACUGAUACAGGGCUCUUUCGGGUCUUGUAAUUGGAAUGAGUACAAUUUAAAUCCCUUAACGAGGAACAAUUGGAGGGCAAGUCUGGUGCCAGCAGCCGCGGUAAUUCCAGCUCCAAUAGCGUAUAUUAAAGUUGUUGUGGUUAAAAAGCUCGUAGUUGACCCUUGGGCCUGGCUGGCCGGUCCGCCUCACCGCGUGUACUGGUCCGGCCGGGCCUUUCCCUCUGUGGAACCCCAUGCCCUUCACUGGGCGUGGCGGGGAAACAGGACUUUUACUUUGAAAAAAUUAGAGUGCUCCAGGCAGGCCUAUGCUCGAAUACAUUAGCAUGGAAUAAUAGAAUAGGACGUGCGGUUCUAUUUUGUUGGUUUCUAGGACCGCCGUAAUGAUUAAUAGGGACAGUCGGGGGCAUCAGUAUUCAAUUGUCAGAGGUGAAAUUCUUGGAUCUAUUGAAGACUAACUACUGCGAAAGCAUUUGCCAAGGAUGUUUUCAUUAAUCAAGAACGAAAGUUAGGGGAUCGAAGACGAUCAGAUACCGUCGUAGUCCUGACCGUAAACUAUGCCGACUAGGGAUCGGACGAUGUUAUUUUUUGACUCGUUCGGCACCUUACGAGAAAUCAAAGUGC
rnacentral:rRNA from 1 species